GUGACAAAGAAAAAAAACUGUGAGUAUAGAACACCUUGCUUGGAAAGCAGUCUCCUCCAGUAACUGUCUUGCCAUCUUCCCCUUCAGCAAAUGUGGAGAGGAGCCUAAUGCUUUCAUGCCCACAGCAAGCAGCUUCAUAGAAUUUUGACUUGCAGUCUGAAUACUCAGGGAGGGUGAAUACCCAGGGAGAGAAGCAGUAGCGGAACUGCAAAAAGAUUUGGAGAUGUCCCUACCAGUGUUCCAAACUCAAGACCUAGCUAUUGGGGUACAAGCACCUUAAAAACACCCCUAUGGGAGGAAACCAGCUUCCUACCAAGUCCACUUUAGGAAGACUGGGAUUGCUGCAAAUCCUUGGAAAUUUAGAUUGUGUUAAGCAGAUCCUGAAACAUUUAACGUAACUUUAAUUAAGCAAGCAGCGCCAAAUGAUGAAUACUUGAAAAAAUAAACUUCAAACUCACUACA